rnacentral:rRNA from 1 species
UCCAGACUCCUACGGGAGGCAGCAGUGAGGAAUAUUGGUCAAUGGGCUUACGCCUGAACCAGCCAAGUCGCGUGAGGGAAGACUGCCCUAUGGGUUGUAAACCUCUUUUGUCAGGGAGCAAUUGGCGCUACGUGUAGCGUUAUCGAGAGUACCUGAAGAAAAAGCAUCGGCUAACUCCGUGCCAGCAGCCGCGGUAAUACGGAGGAUGCGAGCGUUAUCCGGAUUUAUUGGGUUUAAAGGGUGCGUAGACGGGAAAUUAAGUUAGUUGUGAAAUCCCUCGGCUUAACUGAGGAACUGCAACUAAAACUGAUUUUCUUGAGUACUGGAGAGGAAAGUGGAAUUCCUAGUGUAGCGGUGAAAUGCGUAGAUAUUAGGAGGAACACCAGUGGCGAAGGCGACUUUCUGGACAGUAACUGACGUUGAGGCACGAAAGUGUGGGGAGCAAACAGGAUUAGAUACCCUUGUAU